AGUGAACGCUGGCGGUAGGCCUAACACAUGCAAGUCGAACGGCAGCACAGUAAGAGCUUGCUCUUACGGGUGGCGAGUGGCGGACGGGUGAGGAAUACAUCGGAAUCUACUUUUUCGUGGGGGUUAACGUAGGGAAACUUACGCUAAUACCGCAUACGACCUACGGGUGAAAGCAGGGGAUCUUCGGACCUUGCGCGAUUGAAUGAGCCGAUGUCGGAUUAGCUAGUUGGCGGGGUAAAGGCCCACCAAGGCGGCGAUCCGUAGCUGGUCUGAGAGGAUGGUCAGCCACACUGGAGGUGGACCACGGUCCAGACUCCUACGGGAGGCAGCAGAGGGGAAUGUUGGACAGUAGGCGCAAGCCUGAUCCAGCCAUACCGCGUGGGUGGAGAAAGCCUUCGGGUUGUAAUGCCCUUUUGUUGGGAAAGAAAAGCAGCAGGUUAAUACCCAGCUGUUCUGACGGUACCCAAAGAAUAAGCACCGGCUAACUUCGUG
rnacentral:rRNA from 1 species